GACUGCGUGGCCAAGUUGGUUAAGGCGUACGACUGUUAGAUAAUCGUAAGAUCGAGAGUUCGACCCUCUCCGCGGUCG
rnacentral:tRNA from 3 species